GCCGAAGUGGUGGAAUUGGCAGACACGCAGCGUUCAGGGCGCUGUGGACGCAAGUCCUUGAGGGUUCAACUCCCUCCUUCGGCA
rnacentral:tRNA from 1 species